ensembl:lncRNA
GUGCAAGAUGGGUACAAUCUCUUCUGAAAUAGAGUAAUUACUGUCAUGUAGGAAACUAGGCCCCCAGUUUUCCUCCCUACUUGGUGUUCUCAGGCUCCAGAUAGGAUGAAGAGUUGCAGUAACAAGUCUUGCUUAAAUGAACUUGCUAUGGAGACUUUGUAAGAGUUGCAUGACAGUGUCUGCGUAUUACUGUAAGCCAACGUAGGCUUCUCACAAGAAAGAUACUGCUUCAUUUACUGCACAUCUUAGGAACUUCUGGAAUACUGAAAGUGACAAGGAGUGUCUUGUGGAGCUGUGGAAUCUGUGAGAGCAGUUGUCUGAUCUGAGAAUACACCAAAUAAAGCAUCAUCUUCACUGGAGACUUCCUUGCAUUGCACUGACUAGGUCUCCUUCUCUUUGAUGAUGAGUUUACGGUCUAAAACUCUACUACUUCCUGUGGAAUGUCAUUCUAUAGAUAGUUCUCGCUACUUGAUAAUUUGAUUUAUUUCCUUUACCUAAAAAGGAUUUCUAUCAGUAGCUCCAGUUAUACUGCACAAGGGAGGAACUAUACAUAAGAAUAGAAAAACUAAAAACAUGCCAAGACAAUACAGAGCCUGUGUUAGUUCUCACAGUAUCAGUGUUUGUAAUUCUGCUACAUGGAGAUCUCUGAACUGGGCUUAUCAGGUAAGUCUACUUAGC